rnacentral:rRNA from 1 species
GGUUAAGCGACUAAGCGUACACGGUGGAUGCCCUGGCAGUCAGAGGCGAUGAAGGACGUGCUAAUCUGCGAUAAGCGUCGGUAAGGUGAUAUGAACCGUUAUAACCGGCGAUUUCCGAAUGGGGAAACCCAGUGUGUUUCGACACACUAUCAUUAACUGAAUCCAUAGGUUAAUGAGGCGAACCGGGGGAACUGAAACAUCUAAGUACCCCGAGGAAAAGAAAUCAACCGAGAUUCCCCCAGUAGCGGCGAGCGAACGGGGAGCAGCCCAGAGCCUGAAUCAGUGUGUGUGUUAGUGGAAGCGUCUGGAAAGGCGCGCGAUACAGGGUGACAGCCCCGUACACAAAAAUGCACAUGCUGUGAGCUCGAUGAGUAGGGCGGGACACGUGGUAUCCUGUCUGAAUAUGGGGGGACCAUCCUCCAAGGCUAAAUACUCCUGACUGACCGAUAGUGAACCAGUACCGUGAGGGAAAGGCGAAAAGAACCCCGGCGAGGGGAGUGAAAAAGAACCUGAAACCGUGUACGUACAAGCAGUGGGAGCACGCUUAGGCGUGUGACUGCGUACCUUUUGUAUAAUGGGUCAGCGACUUAUAUUCUGUAGCAAGGUUAACCGAAUAGGGGAGCCGAAGGGAAACCGAGUCUUAACUGGGCGUUAAGUUGCAGGGUAUAGACCCGAAACCCGGUGAUCUAGCCAUGGGCAGGUUGAAGGUUGGGUAACACUAACUGGAGGACCGAACCGACUAAUGUUGAAAAAUUAGCGGAUGACUUGUGGCUGGGGGUGAAAGGCCAAUCAAACCGGGAGAUAGCUGGUUCUCCCCGAAAGCUAUUUAGGUAGCGCCUCGUGAAUUCAUCUCCGGGGGUAGAGCACUGUUUCGGCAAGGGGGUCAUCCCGACUUACCAACCCGAUGCAAACUGCGAAUACCGGAGAAUGUUAUCACGGGAGACACACGGCGGGUGCUAACGUCCGUCGUGAAGAGGGAAACAACCCAGACCGCCAGCUAAGGUCCCAAAGUCAUGGUUAAGUGGGAAACGAUGUGGGAAGGCCCAGACAGCCAGGAUGUUGGCUUAGAAGCAGCCAUCAUUUAAAGAAAGCGUAAUAGCUCACUGGUCGAGUCGGCCUGCGCGGAAGAUGUAACGGGGCUAAACCAUGCACCGAAGCUGCGGCAGCGACGCUGAUGCGUUGUUGGGUAGGGGAGCGUUCUGUAAGCCUGCGAAGGUGUGCUGUGAGGCAUGCUGGAGGUAUCAGAAGUGCGAAUGCUGACAUAAGUAACGAUAAAGCGGGUGAAAAGCCCGCUCGCCGGAAGACCAAGGGUUCCUGUCCAACGUUAAUCGGGGCAGGGUGAGUCGACCCCUAAGGCGAGGCCGAAAGGCGUAGUCGAUGGGAAACAGGUUAAUAUUCCUGUACUUGGUGUUACUGCGAAGGGGGGACGGAGAAGGCUAUGUUGGCCGGGCGACGGUUGUCCCGGUUUAAGCGUGUAGGCUGGUUUUCCAGGCAAAUCCGGAAAAUCAAGGCUGAGGCGUGAUGACGAGGCACUACGGUGCUGAAGCAACAAAUGCCCUGCUUCCAGGAAAAGCCUCUAAGCAUCAGGUAACAUCAAAUCGUACCCCAAACCGACACAGGUGGUCAGGUAGAGAAUACCAAGGCGCUUGAGAGAACUCGGGUGAAGGAACUAGGCAAAAUGGUGCCGUAACUUCGGGAGAAGGCACGCUGAUAUGUAGGUGAAGUCCCUCGCGGAUGGAGCUGAAAUCAGUCGAAGAUACCAGCUGGCUGCAACUGUUUAUUAAAAACACAGCACUGUGCAAACACGAAAGUGGACGUAUACGGUGUGACGCCUGCCCGGUGCCGGAAGGUUAAUUGAUGGGGUUAGCCGCAAGGCGAAGCUCUUGAUCGAAGCCCCGGUAAACGGCGGCCGUAACUAUAACGGUCCUAAGGUAGCGAAAUUCCUUGUCGGGUAAGUUCCGACCUGCACGAAUGGCGUAAUGAUGGCCAGGCUGUCUCCACCCGAGACUCAGUGAAAUUGAACUCGCUGUGAAGAUGCAGUGUACCCGCGGCAAGACGGAAAGACCCCGUGAACCUUUACUAUAGCUUGACACUGAACAUUGAGCCUUGAUGUGUAGGAUAGGUGGGAGGCUUAGAAGUGUGGACGCCAGUCUGCAUGGAGCCGACCUUGAAAUACCACCCUUUAAUGUUUGAUGUUCUAACGUUGACCCGUAAUCCGGGUUGCGGACAGUGUCUGGUGGGUAGUUUGACUGGGGCGGUCUCCUCCUAAAGAGUAACGGAGGAGCACGAAGGUUGGCUAAUCCUGGUCGGACAUCAGGAGGUUAGUGCAAUGGCAUAAGCCAGCUUGACUGCGAGCGUGACGGCGCGAGCAGGUGCGAAAGCAGGUCAUAGUGAUCCGGUGGUUCUGAAUGGAAGGGCCAUCGCUCAACGGAUAAAAGGUACUCCGGGGAUAACAGGCUGAUACCGCCCAAGAGUUCAUAUCGACGGCGGUGUUUGGCACCUCGAUGUCGGCUCAUCACAUCCUGGGGCUGAAGUAGGUCCCAAGGGUAUGGCUGUUCGCCAUUUAAAGUGGUACGCGAGCUGGGUUUAGAACGUCGUGAGACAGUUCGGUCCCUAUCUGCCGUGGGCGCUGGAGAACUGAGGGGGGCUGCUCCUAGUACGAGAGGACCGGAGUGGACGCAUCACUGGUGUUCGGGUUGUCAUGCCAAUGGCACUGCCCGGUAGCUAAAUGCGGAAGAGAUAAGUGCUGAAAGCAUCUAAGCACGAAACUUGCCCCGAGAUGAGUUCUCCCUGACUCC